rnacentral:sRNA from 1 species
GCCAGGCAUGGUGGCUAAUGCCUGUAAUCCCAGCAGCUUGGGAGGCUGAGGCAGGAGAAUAGCAAGUUCAAAGUCGGCCUCAGCAACUUAGUGAAGCCCUGAGCAACUUAAGUGAGACACUGUCUCUA